rnacentral:misc_RNA from 1 species
AAGCUUUCAGGCAAAGAUGUUGUGUUUGACUAUCCAGGAACAGAGGCAUAAAUGUUGAGAGUUGGUAUUUUUUGCUUGUUUUUCCCAGCAUUAGUUGGCUAUUUAAAUUUUGAAAAUUGAGUCUCGACUUUUCAGGAGUUGAUUGUGGUGGAUUCAUUUUCUUAAUUGUGAUCAGGACUUAAUUUCAAGUACUUAAGUCUUAAUUACAUUUUUUUUUUUAAAAACAA